rnacentral:piRNA from 1 species
UACGAGAUAUGGUGCCCUCUAGAC